GACGAACGCUGGCGGCGUGCCUAAUACAUGCAAGUCGAGCGAAUGGAUUAAGAGCUUGCUCUUAUGAAGUUAGCGGCGGACGGGUGAGUAACACGUGGGUAACCUGCCCAUAAGACUGGGAUAACUCCGGGAAACCGGGGCUAAUACCGGAUAAUAUUUUGAACUGCAUGGUUCAAAAUUGAAAGGCGGCUUCGGCUGUCACUUAUGGCUGGACCCGCGUCGCAUUAGCUAGUUGGUGAGGUAACGGCUCACCAAGGCAACGAUGCGUAGCCGACCUGAGAGGGUGAUCGGCCACACUGGGACUGAGACACGGCCCAGACUCCUACGGGAGGCAGCAGUAGGGAAUCUUCCGCAAUGGACGAAAGUCUGACGGAGCAACGCCGCGUGAGUGAUGAAGGCUUUCGGGUCGUAAAACUCUGUUGUUAGGGAAGAACAAGUGCUAGUUGAAUAAGCUGGCACCUUGACGGUACCUAACCAGAAAGCCACGGCUAACUACGUGCCAGCCGCCGCCGUAA
rnacentral:rRNA from 1 species